AUCAACUUUCGAUGGUAGGAUAGAGGCCUACCAUGGUGGUAACGGGUAACGGGGUGUUAGGGCACGACACCGGAGAGGGAGCCUGAGAAACGGCUACCACAUCCAAGGAUGGCAGCAGGCGCGCAAAUUACCCAAUCCCGACACGGGGAGGUAGUGACAAUAAAUAACAAUACGGGGUUCUUUCGGAUCUCGUAAUUGGAAUGAGUACAAUUUAAAUCUCUUAACGAGGAACAAUUGGAGGGCAAGUCUGGUGCCAGCAGCCGCGGUAAUUCCAGCUCCAAUAGCGUAUAUUAAAGUUGUUGCAGUUAAAAAGCUCGUAGUUGAAUUUCGGGGUCAGUAGGCUGGUCGUGCCACAGGUACGUACUGGUCUCACUGAUUCCUCCUUCCUGAUGAACCGUAAUGCCAUUAAUUUGGUGUUGCGGGGAAACUGACUGUUACUUUGAAAAAAUUAGAGUGUUUAAAGCAGGCUAACGCUUGAAUACAUUAGCAUGGAAUAAUGAAAUAGGACGUUCGAUCCUAUUUUGUUGGUUUCUAGGAUUGACGUAAUGAUUAAUAGGGAUAGUUGGGGGCAUUAGUAUUCAAUUGUCAGAGGUGAAAUUCUUGGAUUUAUUGAAGACUAACUACUGCGAAAGCAUUUGCCAAGGAUGUUUUCAUUAAUCAAGAACGAAAGUUAGGGGAUCGAAGACGAUCAGAUACCGUCGUAGUCUUAACCAUAAACUAUGCCGACUAGGGAUCGGAUGAUGUUAAUUUUUUAAUGACUCAUUCGGCGCCUUACGGGAAACCAAAGUGUUUGGGUUC
rnacentral:rRNA from 1 species